rnacentral:rRNA from 1 species
UACGUAGGGGGCAAGCGUUGUCCGGAUUUAUUGGGCGUAAAGAGCGUGUAGGCGGCUUGGUAGGUCCGCUGUGAAAACUCGAGGCUCAACCUCGAGACGUCGGCGGAAACCAUCUGGCUAGAGUCCGGAAGAGGAGAGUGGAAUUCCUGGUGUAGCGGUGAAAUGCGCAGAUAUCAGGAAGAACACCCGUGGCGAAGGCGGCUCUCUGGGACGGUACCGACGCUGAGACGCGAAAGCGUGGGGAGCGAACAGG